rnacentral:rRNA from 1 species
UACGUAGGGGGCGAGCGUUGUCCGGAAUUAUUGGGCGUAAAGAGCGUGUAGGCGGUUCGGUAAGUCUGUCGUGAAAUCCUGGGGCUCAACCUCGGGCGCGCGAUGGAUACUGCCGGGCUAGAGGGUGGUAGAGGCGAGUGGAAUUCCCGGUGUAGCGGUGAAAUGCGCAGAUAUCGGGAGGAACACCAGUAGCGAAGGCGGCUCGCUGGGCCACACCUGACGCUGAGACGCGAAAGCUAGGGGAGCGAACAGG